rnacentral:rRNA from 1 species
UCAAGCUACUAAGGGCAUACGGUGGAUGCCUUGGCACUAAGAGCCGAUGAAGGACGCGGUAAGCUGCGAAAAGCCACGGGGAACUGCAAGCAAGUCUUGAUCCGUGGAUGUCCGAAUGGGGAAACCCACCAUCCGUCAUGGGAUGGUAUCCUACGGGAGGGGAACCCGGUGAACUGAAACAUCUAAGUAGCCGGAGGAAGAGAAAUCAAACGAGAUGCCCACAGUAGCGGCGAGCGAAGAGGGCAGAGCCUAAACCAGUCAUCUUCGGAUGGUUGGGGUUACGGACCUGCAUCAACCGAGUCCUACCUAGUCGAAUUACCUGGAAAGGUAAGCCAGAGAGCGUAAGAGCCGCGUAGGUGAAAGGAAGGACGAGGGGGCAGGGAUCCAGAGUACCACGAAGCACGAGGAAUUUUGUGGGAAGUCGGGGGGACCACCCUCCAAGGCUAAACACUUCUUAGUGACCGAUAGCGCAUAGUACCGUGAGGGAAAGGUGAAAAGAACCGCGGGAGCGGAGUGAAAGAGAACCUGAAACCGUAUGUCUACAAGCAGUCGGAGCGCAAGCGACGGCGUGCCUAUUGAAGAAUGAGCCAACGAGUUACGGGCACCAGCGAGGUUAAGCAGGAAAUGCGGAGCCGGAGCGAAAGCGAGUCUAAACAGGGCGAAUAGUUGGUGUUCGUAGACCCGAAACUGUAGUGAUCUACCCAUGAUCAGGUUGAAGCGCAGGUAAAAAUGCGUGGAGGACCGAACCGGUGAGCGUUGAAAAGCUUUCGGAUGAAUCGUGGGUAGCGGUGAAAUUCCAAUCGAACGCAGAGAUAGCUGGUUCUCCUCGAAAUAGCUUUAGGGCUAGCCUCAAGCAGUAAGCAUAGGCGGUAGAGCACUGAUCGGGAUAGGGUCCGUAAAGGAUACCGAACCCUGUCAAACUACGAAUGGUUAUGCUGCAGAGCUUGGGAGUCAGACUACGAGAGAUAAGUCCCGUUGUCAAAAGGGAAACAGCCCAGACCGUCAGCUAAGGUCCCCAAUGCCAUACUAAGUGGAAAAGGAUGUGGGGUCUCAUAAACAACCAGGAUGUUGGCUCAGAAGCAGCCACCAUUUAAAGAGUGCGUAAUAGCUCACUGGUCGAGAGGCCCUGCGCCGAAGAUUCCCGGGGCUAAAGUAUGGAACCGAAGCUACGGAUGCGGUACUUGUACCGCGUGGUAGAGGAGCGUUCCCAUUGGGUUGAAGUCGUCCUGGAAGGGACGGUGGACUGGUGGGAAGUGAGAAUGUUGGCAUGAGUAGCGAAAAGAUAGGUGAGAAUCCUAUCCACCGAAAGCAUAAGGAUUCCUGAGCAACGAUCGUCGUCUCAGGGUAAGUCGGGACCUAAUCCGAGGCAUGGAGCGUAGGAGAUGGACAACUGGUUGAUAUUCCAGUACCGGCAGCAAUCGUUUGAACGAUGGAGUGACGCAGGAAGGCAGGUCCGCGCGAGAAUGGUAGAUCGCGUACAAGCGUGCAGGCUGGUGCACAGGCAAAUCCGUGUACUGAGGCUGAGGCGUGAUGUGGAGGGAACUUGUUCCCGAAGGGAUUGAGCCUACGCUGCCGAGAAAAGCUUCUAGUGAGAAAGCUGCCGCCCGUACCGUAAACCGACACAGGUAUGCGGGGAGAGAAUCCUAAGGUGCGCGGGAGAACCCUCGUUAAGGAACUCGGCAAAAUGUACCCGUAACUUCGGGAUAAGGGUAGCCACAGUGGUGAAGGGACUUGCUCCUGGAGCCUAGUGUGGUCGCAGAGAAGAGGCCCAAGCGACUGUUAACCAGAAACACAGGUGCCUGCGAAAGAGAAAUCUGAUGUAUAGGUGCUGACACCUGCCCAGUGCUGGAAGGUUAAAGAAGGAUGUCCGGGUUCGACCCAAAGCAUUUGACUGAAGCCCCAGUGAACGGCGGCCGUAACUAUAACGGUCCUAAGGUAGCGAAAUUCCUUGUCGGGUAAGUUCCGAC